CCCUUAGAUGUUCUGGGCUGCACGCGUGCUACAAUGGCGUUUCCAGCAAGUCUGCGAACCCGAGAGGGCCAGCGGAUCUUCGAAUUGGCGUCGUGAUCGGGACAGUCGAUUGCAAUUAUUUGACUCAAACGAGGAAUUCCUUGUAAUCGCGAUUCAUCAUAUCGCGCUGAAUACGUCCCUGCCCUUUGUACACACCGCCCGUCGCUCCUACCGAUUGAGCGAUCCGGUAAAUGUUUUGGAUUGGUGCCGGGGCGGCUAGCUGUCGGUCGCUACGAAAUUUUGUGAACCUUAUCGCUUAGAGGAAGGAAAAGUCGUAACA
rnacentral:rRNA from 1 species